UACCAAUUAGAGGGUGUCAGCAAUA
rnacentral:piRNA from 1 species